rnacentral:sRNA from 1 species
AUAAAGUUUAGUUGCUAAAUUCUAUUAAUUUUAAGAUUGUGCUUCCCAAAAUAGUUCUCACUUCAUCUGUCCAGGGAGGCACAGUUCUGUCUGGUAGAAGCCGCAAAGCCCUUAGCCUCUUCACGGAUCUGGCGACUGUGAUGGGCAGGUCAGGAGAGGAGCUGCCCAAAGUCCCAUGAUUUUCACCUAACAGCCCUGAUCAGUCAGUACUCAAAGCUUGGACUCCAUCCCUGAAGGUCUUCCUGAUUGAUAGCCUGGCCUUAAUACCCUACAGAAAGCCUGUCCAUUGGCUGUUUCUUCCUCAGUCAGUUCCUGGAAGACCUUACCCCAUGACCCCAGCUUCAGAUGUGGUCUUUG